rnacentral:rRNA from 1 species
AACGUAGGAGACAAACGUUAUCCGGAGUUACUGGGCGUAAAGGGCGUGUAGGUGGUUUUGUAAGUCUGGCGUGAAAUUUUUCGGCUUAACCGGGAAAGGUCGUCGGAUACUGCAAGGCUAGAGGACGGUAGAGGCGUGUGGAAUUCCGGGUGGAGUGGUGAAAUGCGUAGAGAUCCGGAGGAACACCAAAGGCGAAGGCAGUGUCCUGGGGAGUACCUGACGCUCAGGUGCGAAAGCCAGGGGAGCGAACGGG